CUCAAAGUGCUGCAAUUACAGGUCCUUGGCCAGAACCUACUGAAGGCUCUCAAAAUAGGAGGUCCAUAGACACAGAGUCCCAUAUAACAUUACAUCAGACCAAGGUCAUGGGAUUAGCCAAUCAAUCACAUACUGUAACCCAGAAACUGUCUGCCUGUAAGAAUAAUGAAAUAGUCUCCUGCAGGUACAGAUGAAGACCAGUCUGGUGAUAAUAAUGUAAAGAAUGGGGCACCAUACUAUAUUCGAAACUAAUUAUCAUUGUAUGGUGUGAAUUCUCCAAUAUAUUUAAUGCAUGGGUCCAAGAACCAGAUAAACAUAGGAGUUAUUUCACUUGUCAUUAUAUCUCGUAACCCAUUGGAGGAAUCUGUGUGCACUAUCCCUGUAACUCUGAGAUUUGUGAGUUUAGAGAACCUGUUUCUCAGAAUAAGAAUGCUACUAUUAGGGGACAAAGAAAGAGUCCCAUUAAACUUUAAUCUAUGACUGUCAUCCAGUUACUUUGAGCUCCACUUGCCAACAGACCAGUGAUGAAGAAAGGAAUCACCAUUCUGGCAAGAGUCAUCGACUCUGAUCAUCAGGAGGUGAUAGAGCUGUAUUGCUCAGAGGAGUCAAGGAAAUAUAUGUGUUUUACUUAGUGAUCUGCUGAGUCAUUUGUUCCAACAAUAAAAGGAUGAGUGCAGCAA
rnacentral:lncRNA from 1 species